rnacentral:lncRNA from 1 species
CCUUUGGGGGCAUGUCUCUAAUCACACAUUUGUUGGGCACUUGGAAGGUCUUGAAUACUUGUAUAAGACAAAGAAAUCCCAAUAAUAACUUCUAACUAACCUUUUUGGAUAAAGUCCUAGAUCUUUACAAAUGGUGUAAGAGUCGACCCAGCAUAUGGACUAGAGGACACCAUAGCAUGGGCCCUUUUGGUGCUGACAUGAGCCAAUUUUAGUGUUUGUGAUUAGAUUGAUUGGAUUUGGGUCUUCAGCCUGGCAACUUAAACAAGAGCGCGGGCAUUUGCUCACAUGGGUUGUGCACUGGGAGAUCUUGAAUACUUGUAUAGGGCC